UUGGAGGGCAAGUCUGGUGCCAGCAGCCGCGGUAAUUCCAGCUCCAAUAGCGUAUAUUAAAGUUGUUGCAGUUAAAAAGCUCGUAGUUGAAUUUCGGGGUCAGUAGGCUGGUCGUGCCACAGGUAUGUACUGGUCUCACUGAUUCCUCCUUCCUGAUGAACCGUAAUGCCAUUAAUUUGGUGUUGCGGGGAAUCUGGACUGUUACUUUGAAAAAAUUAGAGUGUUUAAAGCAGGCUAACGCUUGAAUACAUUAGCAUGGAAUAAUGAAAUAGGACGAUCGAUCCUAUUUUGUUGGUUUCUAGGAUUGACGUAAUGAUUAAUAGGGAUAGUUGGGGGCAUUAGUAUUCAAUUGUCAGAGGUGAAAUUCUUGGAUUUACUGAAGACUAACUACUGCGAAAGCAUUUGCCAAGGAUGUUUUCAUUAAUCAAGAACGAAAGUUAGGGGAUCGAAGACGAUCAGAUACCGUCGUAGUCUUAACCAUAAACUAUGCCGACUAGGGAUCGGAUGAUGUUAAUUUUUUAAUGACUCAUUCGGCGCCUUACGGGAAA
rnacentral:rRNA from 1 species